CCUACGGGAGGCAGCAGUGAGGAAUAUUGGUCAAUGGACGAGAGUCUGAACCAGCCAAGUAGCGUGAAGGAUGACUGCCCUAUGGGUUGUAAACUUCUUUUAUAUGGGAAUAAAAUGUUCCACGUGUGGGAUUUUGUAUGUACCAUAUGAAUAAGGAUCGGCUAACUCCGUGCCAGCAGCCGCGGUAAUACGGAGGAUCCGAGCGUUAUCCGGAUUUAUUGGGUUUAAAGGGAGCGUAGGUGGAUUGUUAAGUCAGUUGUGAAAGUUUGCGGCGCAACCGUAAAAUUGCAGUUGAAACUGGCAGUCUUGAGUACAGUAGAGGUGGGCGGAAUUCGUGGUGUAGCGGUGAAAUGCUUAGAUAUCACGAAGAACUCCGAGUGCGAAGGCAGUUCACUGGACUGCAACUGACACUGAGGCUCGAAAGUGUGGGUAUCAAACAGGAUUAGAUACCCUUGUAGUC
rnacentral:rRNA from 1 species